UAAGGAAUAUUGGUCAAUGGGCGAGAGCCUGACCCAGCCAUGCCGCGUGCAGGAUGAAGGCCUUCUGGGUUGUAAACUGCUUUUGAUCGGGAACAAAGAGCCCUUGCGAGGGAAGUUGAGUGUACCGAUAGAAUAAGCACCGGCUAACUCCGUGCCAGCAGCCGCGGUAAUACGGAGGGUGCAAGCGUUGUCCGGAUUUAUUGGGUUUAAAGGGUGCGUAGGCGGCUAUUUAAGUCAGUGGUGAAAUCCAACAGCUUAACUGUUGAACUGCCAUUGAUACUGGAUGGCUUGAGUACAGACGAGGUAGGCGGAAUUUAUGGUGUAGCGGUGAAAUGCAUAGAUACCAUAAAGAACACCGAUUGCGAAGGCAGCUUACUAGGCUGUAACUGACGCUGAGGCACGAAAGCGUGGGGAUCAAA
rnacentral:rRNA from 1 species